CCGUCACACUGAGGAGACACAGUUUGUUGGCACUUUUUCUGUUGAUGACGACCACACACCUAUAGAGGCCGCUGUCGCUCACAGUCACGUUUCUGAAGACACAUUCAAUGCGUCCUGUCUCAAAGAGUUCUUUAUUACAGGAAAACCGUCCUCUAUAGAACUGGUAGACAGACUGUGACCUGUCUCCAAAAUGCCAAAAAAGGUAA